rnacentral:lncRNA from 1 species
AUGCACUCAGCUCCAGCUCCCCGUGGCUUUCUGUGCCCCCAUCCCACCGUGUGCCGGGUGGGAGAGCACCCGGGGCUCUGCCACCUCCUGGGGUCCCGGUGGGGCUCAGGCAGUCCCGAGCAGGUGGCGUGUCCCUGCGCAUCCCCCCCGCAGGUGCCUUUCUGCUCCCUUUCAAGCCAUGUUAAGGGAUGUCCUGCUCCAAACACCGACCGCAUCCUCCGCUCGGCCAGCGGCUCCUCUUCCCCAUCCCUCCAGCCGGCCGGGACCUCUCGGCUCUCCAGCAGCCAGAGCCGGGGAGUAUCAUGCCCAUUUUGCUGGCACAGUUUGUUCUGCGAAGCUUCAACUCUGAGUUGAUAACAACACUGAAAAUGAACCACCGGUGUCUUUCCUUGCACUAGAGAAAAAAAUCCAGAUAUUUACUGAAAAAUGCUCUAUUACAGUGACCAACAGGUUUCGCUUUAAUGUUUGGACUUUUAUGAGACUAUGCUUUUUGAGCCUAACUCUUAGAAAACCUUUAUUCUCUUUUUAUUUACUUUUUUUUUUUUCUGUCAAAAUUUUUCUUUCAUGUUAAAUUGCAAAGUCAUAUUGAUUUCUGGUGGGGUUUUGUUUUGAUUCUUGAAAUGAAACCUCAUUCCAGCAGCUCUACUUUUGCCUCUAUUUUCUGCUUCAGGGAAUCACAAAUGCUCUCAUCUGAGAGACUGGGAGAUAAAACUUGGUAAAGAGGAAUUUAUUUGUGCUUCCAGUGCCACAUUUCAAGCUGUGACUCAGGCUGGUCAACUUUCAAUAAUACUUUUUUGGAGCAACAUAUUCCCCAAAGAAUCCAAAACUCCUACUUCUAAACAUGAGAGGAAGAGCAUUACUUGAGAUCAUCGCCUGCAGAGGCAGGGGUUAAUUCUGCUUCUCAGAAUAUUUCUGAUUUAGCCUGCAGCAGCCUCAGAAUACUUCUUUCCUUCCAUGCCUAAAACCUGUCUUUGCAGGUGGAUUGAAGUCUUUGGAAAAUCAACUGGGGGAAAUUAAAAAGCAAACUCAAUCAUGGAAAACAGAACUUGCACACACCAGAAAGUUUGAUGAUAGGUGGAGGACUGAUCUUUAACUGACUGGUUGUGAUUUCCACUGAAAUGCAGCAGACAGAGAUGUGCAAUACACUUAUUUCGCCAGGCCUGUGUCCGGUGCGAGACAUACACCUCUGCAGUUUUAGUAACCACUCCAGUGAGUAACCAAGAUUUGAAGUGAUUAUUAAAAACUGUUCAGCUAGCGAGCUUCGGCUGACAACUCUGGUCUCAUCAGAAGCAAAAGCAUGCUAUUUAUCCUGUACCAAAAUGGAAUCAGCUUGGAGCUUGUCACUGAGACUGACAGGGGGCUGCUGGCAGCUGGACAGGUGGGGAGCUGGGAACAAAGCUGGUGGCCACGAGGAGUGUGCAUGUAGACAGGGGACUGCUAGCUGGAGCUGGGAUUUGAUCAUGAUGGACAUGAUCAAACACCGGACAAUGUUUGCUAUGAACAACCUCACCCUGCUUCAUUUUAAGACAAUCUGCACGUGCUCCUUGGCCUGCCUUCCUUUGCUGUACAAGCCUCGCAAGGCUUUGGUUUCUGUGUAGUGGAAGUGCUGUGUACAUGCCAAAUAAUUAUGUUUAUUAUGGUCAUUUGCACUGAAGAGAGUCCUAAUGAAAACAUGAAGAGCCGUGACCUUAAACCAAAUUAUUUGGGCUGCAGGGAUACAGAAGAACAUGCAGAGAGCUCUCUCAGCCUUCACCUCGCCCUGAAUGUGAAUGUAACACAUUAUUUCCCUGACAAUGAAUGAACAAGCUGCUGUGCGACUGCGACUCAUCCCAGCUCUUCCCUGGGUAAUUAAAUGUACUUUUAAUUUGUAUUUGCUCACUGUGGCGUCUCA